rnacentral:lncRNA from 1 species
UAUUCUUAAAUAUUCUAACAAAGUCUACUUAGAGUUCUAGAGACCUGGCUUAACAUGGGAAUCCCAAGGUUAGCUCCCCUACUUCUUGUUAGACUUGAAGCAACCCUGGAUUACUAUUUCUGUGUUUGCUUCCUUCCUGGAACACAUAGGUUUUAGCAGAUGUUUAUUCUUUUCCCUCUCUUUCUUGGCCCUGAGAGACUUCUCUCACUUAAAAGUCUAGCAACAUCUUCAAAAAUGUC